CAGUCGUGGGGCAGCAUGACUGUAGCAAUACAGUUGAUGGCGACCGGCAAACGGGUGCGGAACACGUACACAACCUUCCUUCGAGUGGGGAAUAGCCCGGGGAAACCCGGAUUAAUACCCCGUAACAUAAUGAAGUGGCAUCACUUUAUUAUUAUAGCUCCGGCGCUUGAAGAUGGGUGUGCGACUGAUUAGGCAGUUGGCGGGGUAACGGCCCACCAAACCUACGAUCAGUAACUGGUGUGAGAGCACGACCAGUCACACGGGCACUGAGACACGGGCCCGACUCCUACGGGAGGCAGCAGUAAGGAAUAUUGGUCAAUGGACGCAAGUCUGAACCAGCCAUGCCGCGUGGAGGAUGAAGGUCCUCUGGAUUGUAAACUUCUUUUAUCUGGGAAGAAACCCAUGAAUUCUUUUGUGGUUGACGGUACCAGAUGAAUAAGCACCGGCUAACUCCGUGCCAGCAGCCGCGGUAAUACGGAGGGUGCAAGCGUUAUCCGGAUUCACUGGGUUUAAAGGGUGCGUAGGUGGGCUGGUAAGUCAGUGGUGAAAUCUCCAGGCUUAACUUGGAAACUGCCAUUGAUACUAUCAGUCUUGAAUACCGUGGAGGUCAGCGGAAUAUGUCAUGUAGCGGUGAAAUGCUUAGAUAUGACAUAGAACACCAAUUGCGAAGGCAGCUGGCUACACGAAUAUUGACACUGAUGCACGAAAGCGUGGGGAUCAAACAGGAUUAGAUACCCUGGUAGUCCACGCCCUAAACGAUGGAUACUCGACAUACGCGAUAUACUGUGUGUGUCUGANC
rnacentral:rRNA from 1 species